rnacentral:rRNA from 1 species
UGGCGGCAUGCCUAACACAUGCAAGUCGAACGAACCCUUCGGGGUUAGUGGCGCACGGCUGCGUAACGCGUGGGAACCUGCCUUUAGGUUCGGAAUAACAGUUAGAAAUGACUGCUAAUACCGGAUGAUGUCUUCGGACCAAAGAUUUAUCGCCUUUAGAUGGGCCCGCGUUAGAUUAGAUAGUUGGUGGGGUAAUGGCCUACCAAGUCGACGAUCUAUAGCUGGUCUGAGAGGAUGAUCAGCCACACUGGGACUGAGACACGGCCCAGACUCCUACGGGAGGCAGCAGUGGGGAAUAUUGGACAAUGGGCGAAAGCCUGAUCCAGCAAUGCCGCGUGAGUGAUGAAGGCCUUAGGGUUGUAAAGCUCUUUUACCAGGGAUGAUAAUGACAGUACCUGGAGAAUAAGCUCCGGCUAACUCCGUGCCAGCAGCCGCGGUAAUACGGAGGGAGCUAGCGUUGUUCGGAAUUACUGGGCGUAAAGCGCGCGUAGGCGGC